rnacentral:rRNA from 1 species
AUUGAACGCUGGCGGCAGGCCUAACACAUGCAAGUCGGGCGAGCGGCGGACUGGUGAGUAAUGUAUUGGGACUGCCUGAUGUAGGGGUAUGACUACUUGAAACGGUAGCUAAUACCGCAUACCAUCAUAUAACCCAUAUGGGAUUAGCUAGUAGGGGAGGUAACGGCUAACCUAGGCGACGAUCCCUAGCUAGUCUGAGAGGCUGAUCAGCCAAACUGGGACUGAGACACGGCCCAGACUCCUACGGAGGCAGCAGUGGGGAAUAUUCGACAAUGGGCGCAAGUCUGAUGGAGCAAUGCCGCGUGUAUGAAGAAGGGCUUCGGGUUGUAAAGUACUUUCAGUCGAGAGGCGGUAUCGAAAGAAAAAGCAACGGCUAACUACGUGCCAGCAGCCGCGGUAAUAC